GACGAACGCUGGCGGCGUGCCUAAUACAUGCAGGUAGAACGCUGAAGGAGGAGCUUGCUUCUCUGGAUGAGUUGCGAACGGGUGAGUAACGCGUAGGUAACCUGCCUGGUAGCGGGGGAUAACUAUUGGAAACGAUAGCUAAUACCGCAUAAGAGUAGAUGUUGCAUGACAUUUACUUAAAAGGUGCAAUUGCAUCACUACCAGAUGGACCUGCGUUGUAUUAGCUAGUUGGUGAGGUAACGGCUCACCAAGGCAACGAUACAUAGCCGACCUGAGAGGGUGAUCGGCCACACUGGGACUGAGACACGGCCCAGACUCCUACGGGAGGCAGCAGUAGGGAAUCUUCGGCAAUGGACGGAAGUCUGACCGAGCAACGCCGCGUGAGUGAAGAAGGUUUUCGGAUCGUAAAGCUCUGUUGUAAGAGAAGAACGAGUGUGAGAGUGGAAAGUUCACACUGUGACGGUAUCUUACCAGAAAGGGACGGCUAACUACGUG
rnacentral:rRNA from 1 species